GACGAACGCUGGCGGCGUGCUUAACACAUGCAAGUCGAACGGAAAGGCCCUGCUUGCAGGGUGCUCGAGUGGCGAACGGGUGAGUAACACGUGGGUGAUCUGCCCCUUACUUUGGGAUAAGCCUGGGAAACUGGGUCUAAUACUGGAUAGGACCAUGCUGUAGGUGGUGUGGUGGAAAGUUUAGUUUCGGUAAGGGAUGAGCUCGCGGCCUAUCAGCUUGUUGGUGGGGUAAUGGCCUACCAAGGCGUCGACGGGUAGCCGGCCUGAGAGGGUGGACGGCCACAUUGGGACUGAGAUACGGCCCAGACUCCUACGGGAGGCAGCAGUGGGGAAUAUUGCACAAUGGGCGCAAGCCUGAUGCAGCGACGCCGCGUGGGGGAUGACGGCCUUCGGGUUGUAAACUCCUUUCAGCCAUGACGAAGCCCUUGUGGUGACGGUAGUGGUAGAAGAAGCACCGGCUAACUACGUG
rnacentral:rRNA from 1 species